rnacentral:rRNA from 1 species
UACGGAGGGUGCGAGCGUUGUCCGGAAUCACUGGGCGUAAAGGGCGCGUAGGCGGCAUGCCAAGCGUGUGGUGAAAGCCCGGGGCUCAACCCCGGGUCGGCCGUGCGGACUGGCGUGCUCGAGCACUGUAGGGGCGGGUGGAAUUCCGGGUGUAGCGGUGAAAUGCGCAGAUAUCAGGAGGAACACCAAUGGCGAAGGCAGCUCGCUGGGACGUGACUGACGCUGAGACGCGAAAGCGUGGGGAGCAAACAGG